GAGGAAAAGAAACCAACAGGGAUUGCCUCAGUAACGGCGAGUGAAGCGGCAAUAGCUCAAAUUUGAAAUCUGGCCCUUUCAGGGUCCGAGUUGUAAUUUGCAGAGGGCGCUUUGGAGUCGGCAGCAGCCUAAGUUCCUUGGAACAGGUCAUCAUAGAGGGUGAGAAUCCCGUAUGUGGCUGCUUGCCUUCGCCGUGUAAAGCCCCUUCGAUGAGUCGAGUUGUUUGGGAAUGCAGCUCUAAAUGGGAGGUAAAUUUCUUCUAAAGCUAAAUAUUGGCCAGAGACCGAUAGCGCACAAGUAGAGUGAUCGAAAGAUGAAAAGCACUUUGGAAAGAGAGUCAAAAAGCACGUGAAAUUGUUGAAAGGGAAGCGCUUGCAGCCAGACGUGCCCGUAGUUGCUCAUCUGGGGUUCUCCCCAGUGCACUCUUCUAUGGGCAGGCCAGCAUCAGUCCGGGCGGUUGGAGAAAGACCUGUGUCACGUAGCUCUCUUCGGGGAGUGUUAUAGGGCAGGUGGAAUGCAACCAGCCUGGACUGAGGUCCGCGCAUCUGCUAGGAUGCUGGCGUAAUGGCUGUAAGCGGCCCGUCUUGAAACACGGACCAAGGAGUCUAACAUCUAUGCGAGUGUUUGGGUGUCAAGCCCGAGCGCGUAAUGAAAGUGAACGGAGGUGGGAACCCCUCGGGGUGCACCAUCGACCGAUCCUGAUGUCUUCGGAUGGAUUUGAGUAAGAGCAUAGCUGUUGGGACCCGAAAGAUGGUGAACUAUGCCUGAAUAGGGUGAAGCCAGAGGAAACUCUGGUGGAGGCUCGCAGCGGUUCUGACGUGCAAAUCGAUCGUCAAAUUUGGGCAUAGGGGCGAAAGACUAAUCGAACUA
rnacentral:rRNA from 1 species